UGGAAGCGAGUUGCAGGAUACACAAAUGCACAAUUUCUCAUUGGUAUGCGCAAAAUCAAUGUACAUGAACACAAAAUAAAACAUUGCAAUCACAAAUCUGCCUCUAUUUGUACAAAUCGCUUCGUGUUUAUUCAAAUCUAAAUUUCACAGAAUCAAAUCAUAAGGCAUUUGUUUGUGAAUCGUAAAAUACAAAUGUAACGUGUAUCACGUUCAAGGAUGACUGUGCGUGCAUUUGUUAAUCAUUUUGAGUCGGAAUUCAUCCCAUAAUAUUCCAUUCCAUUUUCUACCGCUCAUCCGAACUACCUCGGGUCACGGGGAGCCUGCGCCUAUCUCAGGAGUCAUCGGGCAUCAAGGCAGGAUACACCCUGGAUGGAGUGCCAACCCAUCGCAGGGCACACACACUCAUCCCAUAAUAUGCUAGUCUUUAUUAAACUUAACAUAAAUCCCUCUCUGGGUCACCUGUAUCACUGUAGUCGUGUGAGAAUGAAGUGACAAGGAUUGAAGUGAUCCUGUGGCCAAGUGGUAAACUGAUGGCAGGUGUCAAGAUGGAAAGGAUUGAUGUAGCGCAGCUUCUCAGGCAGUCACAGACUGAACUGCUAUGGAUCCAGAGAGAACUGUCAAUCAUAUCGGCACGAAACGCCACUCAUAACAGGACCAAAUAUAAGGUGGCAUAUGGAGAAAAGGAUGGAUCACGCAAAGAUAGAGAUAGAAGACACAGAACAGAAAGAAACAGGAGGAAAUCUUCGCCCUAAUCCGUUAGU